rnacentral:rRNA from 1 species
AGUGAACGCUGGCGGUAGGCCUAACACAUGCAAGUCGAACGGCAGCACAGUAAGAGCUUGCUCUUACGGGUGGCGAGUGGCGGACGGGUGAGGAAUACAUCGGAAUCUACUUUUUCGUGGGGGAUAACGUAGGGAAACUUACGCUAAUACCGCAUACGACCUACGGGAGGAAGCAGGGGAUAUUCGGACCUUGCGCGAUUGAAUGAGCCGAUGUCGGAUUAGCUAGUUGGCGGGGUAAAGGCCCACCAAGGCGACGAUCCGUAGCUGGUCUGAGAGGAUGAUCAGCCACACUGGAACUGAGACACGGUCCAGACUCCUACGGGAGGCAGCAGUGGGGAAUAUUGGACAAUGGGCGCAAGCCUGAUCCAGCCAUACCGCGUGGGUGAAGAAGGCCUUCGGGUUGUAAAGCCCUUUUGUUGGGAAAGAAAAGCAGCAGGUUAAUACCCCGCUGUUCUGACGGUACCCAAAGAAUAAGCACCGGCUAACUUCGUG